rnacentral:ncRNA from 2 species
UCAGAGCCGUCUGGAGAGCCAUCACGCCAUGUGAUGCACCGAAGGAGCAAGCCCUGUUGCGGGUGCAACGGGCGAAUCUCUCAGGUACCGAGGACAGGGGGAGCGGC